rnacentral:lncRNA from 1 species
UGAAACAUGGGACUUUUUGAUCCAGGCCUUCCUUAGUUUUAGAGGAGGCAUUGGGGGUCCAGAGAAAGCUCUAAGACCAGUGGUAUCUGCCUGUCCACCCGCCUGUGUAAAACCCAUCAGUGAUGGAGACUAGGUAGGCAGAGAAGUAGCACAAGAGCUGUUGUGGCUGUCAUGAAACAACCUUGCCAUGGGCAGCAAGGUCCUGCUGGCAUGUAGCAGCUGGGCUGAGCAGCUUACUAGGUGGGAGGUAAGAGGUGCAGGUGUGCCCCUGGCACACAGCUUACAAAGGACCCAUAUAUGGAGGCUGCAAUCUGAGCAGCCUGGGCCUGAUUACAGCCCUUCUUCCACCUACACUCCCAAGAUGCAUUAUUCUUCUGUCCCAUUCACUAUCACAGAACCCAGCCACUGCCUCAGGCCCCUGGUUAGCUCUGGCCAGAGUAAGUUUUAGAAUGAAUUACUUCUUUCACAAGGGCAUGCAGUCUCAUACACAUGAGCCUCAGACUCAACAGCUUACUGGAGAACUUUUAAAAGGGCACUUUUGAGUGGAUGGGUUUUUUUUUUUUUUUUAAUUUGAUUUGUUUUGUUUUUUAGUGGAUGGCUUUUGCCUAAAAAAAAAAAAAUGUGAAGUCUUGGAUUUUUCUCCCUGCCAAGCUAUUUGGGGCACCUCUUAUCUGGCUUUAAUUUAGAUUGACCCUCAUAUUCAGAAUCCAAACACUUAAAGUUAUCCAAUUAACAUAUUCCAGAUAGAUGAAACUCUGCUCCUGCACAAGAUGGCAUCAAUGAACCCAUUGUACUUAGUCCCCUGUGUGCUGUGAUGGGCAUUCUGGAGGAUUUGAGGAACACAAAGCCUUACCUCUCAGGUGGCUUAAGUUUGGUUGGAGAGAUAAGGCAUCUAAUACUCUCAGGCUAUAGUCCUCAUGAGAAAGGAUGAAUGUGGCAGGGCCCUUGAGAAUAGGGAUUUAGACCUGCAGAAAGAUAUGUUCUGGGUAGACUGUGCCUUACUCCCAGUUCCCUUCCCAAAACAGAAGCCAAAUCACAUUCCUUGACAAAAGAUUUGGACCAGACCUCCACAGCUGCUCCACAGUUGGACUACCAUUCUGGGCACUGGGCCCUCUGUCAUGGUGACAAGAAAAGGACAAAUAGAGGAAGACAGUGGUUCUCAAAGCUGCAUGUUAGAACCAAUCACUUGAAGAAGUAAAACAUGGAUGCUUUCCCACCUGUUACAAGCCUACUGCACCAGCAUCUCUCAGGAGGGAGCCUGGGUCCCUGAUCUGAGAUCGGUAGCCGGCUCUGAUAAGCAGCCAAGGCUGGGAACUUAGGGUAAGUUCAGGUCAUCAGGACCCUGUUUUUGAUAGUUUGUGCUGAGCACCACCAGAGAGCAGCUCAGGAAGACUUAUGACAAAAGUAAAAUUCAGGGCUGGCUUGGUUCUGACCAAUAAUCCCUACAACUUGCUACGGACAAUAUGCAACCUCUGAAGUGAAGUUUUGGGCUGACAGGGUAGGAAGGAGGUGCUGCACAGAGUGGCUGUUGUUUGGGAUCACAGAUAGAAGGGACCAAACAAAGGGGUGGGGUGAAUUUCCUUUCUGGCCAAGGACACUGAUUUACAUGGCCUUGGGUAUAGCAGACCACAGGGUAAGCUGGACUUGCUAAGACAGUCUUCCCAGAGGAAAAGGACAGCCUCUCCCCUCUUAAAUGUUUCUCUUGGUUUUGUGGUUGGUUUUGAGGUUGAGGAGACCUUUGAGUGAAGUGAAUACACAAAGACAAGGAAGAUGGAGCAAGCCAUUUCAAGAUUCAUUUUCAAGAUUCAAGUCAAUCAGAUGAUGAAUGAAUAUUCUUACAAUUACUCAAUCAUCAACAGAAGUGAAGUACUGAUAGGCACAACCACACAGAUGAACCUUGAACAUAUUGCACUAAGUGAAAGAAACCAAAAAAAUGCUACAUAUUAUUUGCCAUUUAUUUUAAUUAUUUUUUAAAUAUUUUUUUAGUUGUAGUUGACACAAUACCUUUAUUUUAUUCAUUUAUUUUUAUGUGGUGCUGAGGAUCAAACCCAGGACCUUGCACAUGCUAGACAAGUGCUCUACCGCUGAGCCACAAUCCCAGCCCAUUUAAUUAUUUUUUAAAACAUAAAAACCCUUUACUUUUUCUGGAUUUUCAAGAAAUGGUGUGUUAUGACCAUACAUAAUAGUGGAAUUCCUUGUUAUAUAUUCAUACACGUAUGUAAGAAUUUUACAUGAAGCUAUUUAGCCGAAAGAUCCAGAGCAGGUGAAUCUAUAGAAAUAGGAAGCAUAUUAGUGGGUUGCUAUGGGAUGAAUAAAAUGGGAAUUGGGACUAACUGCUAAUAGGUUCAAGGUUUCUUGUUGAGGUGAUAAAAUGUUCUGGAAGUGGAUAGCAGUAAUGUUUGCACAAUGUAGUAGAAUAUACUAAAAACUACUAAAGUAUAUUUUACAGUGCUGAAUUUGAUGGUAUGAAAAUUACCUCAAUUAAAAAAAAAAAAUCAGUCCAGCAAAUACACCACAAUGUGUGAAGAGAGGCACAACUUCAGAUCAAGUGCCAGCUCCCUCCCACUUGGAGAGAAUCAGAGAGAGGGAAGCAACAGGCCUGAAUACAGUUUCCAACCACUCACAUUGAGGAUAAAUAUUUUUUAAUACAAUCCCUAAGAGCAAGCCAGCUACUUCAUCUUCACCGGAGAUGAAGCACUAAUCUAUUCCCAUGCUGGAGGGCAGAAGUUCAUGUGGGACUUACUGAGAAGUAGACUGUGUUCUUCAGCCGUUCUGGAUUUGAGGAUACCUUUGACUGUAAUUUGUGCUUUGUGAGCUGCCUUUCUAUGUUCUAGAUAGCCUCUUAGAGGCUGUAAUGGUGAACUGGAGGCAGAACCUCAAGAAGUGGCUGGCAGAAAUGAAGCUUCUUGUCUUGGUUUAUCCAGCAGCCCCCACUUUCAGGAAGGGUACUGGGGAAAAAGAAAUGAAGGUGGGACCUAUCCUCAAGAAGCAGGGGUCUGAACAAGCAAACACAUGGCUCUAAGACAGUGUGACACAAGUAGGCACAGAUAAUAGGCUCCUAUUCCAGUCUGGGGACAUCUGGAAAACUGUGGCAUCUCCCAGUGCAGUUCAGUUGUUCCAGCCCUCUAGAACCCAUAAAGCCAUUGGUUUUGUGUCAAAAUGCUGUAGGGACAUCUUUAGUGGUCACAAUGAUGGUAAUGAAUGGGAAACAACAGGGACUGCCAUUCAGCAGACAAGGAACAAGACUUCGUGCAGUACAUGCCAGUUCUCAACAAAAAAGAACUGAUUUCCAAAUAUUCUGUUGGACGUCGUGUACAACUAAAUGAAAGCCUCCCCUCCCCCCAUACUGGGGAUUGGGUGCUCAACCACUGAGCUCCAUUCCCAGUCCUUUCUAUGUUUUAUUUUGAAACAGGGUCUAAGUUGCCCAGGCUGCCCUCAAACAACCCACCUUCCUAAGCCUCCUGAGUCACUGAAAUUACAGGAGUGUGUGACCAUGUCCAGCAAACCUGCUUAUUGUAACAAUGCAGAUCUAUUUUAUACAUGAAAAUACUUUUGAAGUUUUAAUAUACUCUGAAAUCUCCAAGAAUGCAAUAACUUUGCAUAUAAAGGGAAGAUAGUAUUCUACCGUACUUUUAACCUCACCAACAUUUGUUGACCAUUUCAAAAAAUCAUGGUGUAUUUGCCACCAACAAAAUAUACCUAUAUCCGUUUGCAUUUAUUUUUAUGGAUUGGUAUAUUAAUUCUCCUUUCACAGAGAUCCACCAAUUGGCACAAGCAUUUAUCCCACUGUGUUCAUCUAGGGUAGUUGUGUCCAAACAGUACAUUCCUUUUAUGUCUCCUUUAUAUUAGAGUUAAGACCUCAUUAUUAUUGGAUCAGUUAAGUUUCAUUAGCAAUUAAUUGCAUCUUGAGAUUGUAAAAUGAGCAUCAGGAAAUAGUUGUUUUAAAAAAGAAAGGAGCCAUGAAUCAACAAGUUGAAAACCACUGCUCUGUCCUUCCCAAAAGUGACCACAAGGUGGCCACCAUGUGGGCAGUACUGCCCUCUUGUGGCCGGGGAGGACACACAUGCACAAACAGCCCUGAGAAUCCCUCCAGCCACCAAUGCUUGGAGCAUGUCCUUGAACUAGGGACAGGGUAAUGUUGUUCCCAAAUCAGCCCCUCUGACUUGGGAAGAAGACCAAGGUGGGAACAGUUUGCAGUGGCUCAAAACAAUAUGAAAUAUUUCUCCAUCACUGCAACCACCACUUGCCAUCCCUCGGCAGGGCUCUCUAUACUAGCUAGGCCCCCUUCUCAGUACUGAAGAAUUCUGAAUUCGUCUCAUUUGUUGAUUCUUGGUUUAAUUCUUGUGCUAUAGGUGUCUUAUUAAGGAACUUGGGGCCUAACCCCACGUGAUGGAAAUUAGGGCCAACUUUUUCUUCUAUUAGACUCAGAGACUCUGGUUUGAUUCCUAGAUCCUUGAUCCAUUUUGAGUUAACUUUUGUGCAUGGUGAGAGAAAGGGAUUCAAUUUCAUUUUGUUGCAUAUGGAUUUCCAGUUCUCCCAGCACCAUUUGUUGAAGAUGCUAUCCUUUCUCCAUUGCAUGCUUUUAGCACCUUUGUCUAAUAUAAGGUAGUUGUAAUUUUGUGGGUUAGUCUCUGUGUCCUCUAUCCUGUACCCCUGGUCUACCAGCCUAUUUUGAGGUGAAGAGGGAGCCUACUACAUCCUGGGAACAAAUUUUUACCCCUCACACAUCAGACAGAGCUCUAAUCUCUAAGGUAUUCAAAGAACUCAAAAAGUUAAACAACAAAAAAACAAAUGAGCCAAGGACCUGAACAGACACUUCUCAGAAGAGGACAUACAGUCAACCAACAAAUACACGAAAAAAUGCUCACCAUCUCUAGCAAUCAGAGAAAUGCAAAUCAAAACUACUCUAAGAUACCAUCUCACUGCAGUAAGAAUGGCAGCCAUUAUGAAGUCAAACAACAAGUGCUGGCGAGGAUGGGGGGGCGGGGGGAUGGUACACUCAUGCACUGCUGGUGGGACUGCAAAUUAGUGCAGCCAAUAUAGAAAGCAGUAUGGAGAUUUCUUGGAAAGCUGGGAAUGGAACCACCAUUUGAUCCAUCUAUUCCUCUUUUCGAACUAUACCUAAAAGACCUAAAAAUGGCAUACAUACAGGGACACAGCCACAUCAAUGUUUAUAGCAGCACAAUUCACAAUAGCUAGACUGUGGAGCCAACCUAAAUGCCCUUCAAUGGAUGAAUGGAUUAAAAAAAUGUGGCAUUUAUACACAAUGGAAUAUUACUCAGCACUAAAAAAUAACAAGAUCAUGGCAUUUGCAGGGAAAUGGAUGGCAUUAGAGCAGAUUAUGCUAAGUGAAGUUAGCCAAGCCCAAAAAAACAAAUGCCGAAUGUCUUUUCUGAUAUAAAGGGGUGACUCAAAAUGGGGUAGGGAGGAAGAGCAUGAGAAGAUUGAGAAGAUUACCUCUGGAUAGGGAAGAGAGGUGAGAGGGAGAAGGGGAAUUGCACGGAAGAAGAUCCUCAUCGUUAUACAGAAUACAUGUAUGACGAUGUGAGGGGAAAAAAAAGUAGUGUGACACAUUAGAUUGGGUAGAGACAAGUGAUGGGAGGGGAGGGGAGGGGAGGGGAUGGGUGAAAGGAAG